rnacentral:lncRNA from 1 species
UGUCAGUAAAGAUAAAUUUCCUUCAUAAGUCAGAUUUUUUAUCAGUUGUUGACUGUUGAUAAGUCAAUAAAGAGAAAUAUUUAUGUUGAGCUUGAGUUUCUUUUGAGUCUUUCUGUUGAGUUCAAGAGUUUUGCUCAGGAAUGCCAGUCAAGAACAACUAUGGUGAUGAAAACGAAAAGUGAAACAUCACAAUUGUUUACACAUUAGAGAAGCAAGUCCUGAUAUUAAAGUGCAAAAAUUUGCCAAAUCUCCGCUAAUAAUGUUUUGGAUGAAAUAAUGUCAAAAUAUGUUCUACCAUUGUUGAAUAAUGCUGGAACUUAUGGAAAUAAAUCAUUUCGAAAAAACUUUA